UGCAGGAAUGCAGAGGACCU
rnacentral:miRNA from 1 species